rnacentral:rRNA from 1 species
UGGUGGAGCGAUUUGUCUGGUCGAUUCCGAUAACGAACGAGACUCUAGCCUACUAAAUAGUUCGGGGACCCCCACAAUGGGGCCCCGCUUCAACUUCUUAGAGGGACAGGUGGCGUUUAGCCACACGAGAUUGAGCAAUAACA